GCAGUGGUGGUUCAGUUGUAGAAUUCUCACUUUCCGUGAGGGAGACCUGGGUUCUAUUCCCAGUCAGUGCA
rnacentral:tRNA from 1 species